CCGGCAAACGAUUUGUCUUUACCGAGAGCCAGGGCUUAGCUCUCGGCAAAGAGGUGUAUUUGCCGAGAGCUAUGGUAAGGGCUCUCGGCAAACUUCCUUUUUUUGUUUUUAUCUACCAAACUUUUUCUCUGACCUUCUUACGCUUACUGUGACAACAUGUCAAAGUAUGGAUUAGUUUGUAGACAUUUUGCUAUAUUUCUUGCUUUUUUUUUUGUUUAAGUGAGUUUGUUGGAAAAUAUUGGUAAGAACUUCAAGAGCAUGAAAUCACGCGUUUCUAUGCACGAAAUGUCGAUAUUCAUGGUACUUACGCUAAUUGAAGGCCGUGUGCACGAAAACACCCUAGCUCUAGCACGUUUCAUUCGCGAACCCUGACUUUUGAGACGGUGCAGAAUAUGUUUUAAAUUAUAGAAAAUCCAAACGAGUUCAAAAAAUCGCAAAACUUUAUGAGGUGUCAUCACAUGUCAUGUGUAGCUUGUGGUAAAAUUUUGAGAAAGUUUCGUGCACGGCGUCACGUCGGACCCUCAGAAACCUGA
rnacentral:lncRNA from 1 species